CCUACGGGCGGCAGCAGUGAGGAAUAUUGGUCAAUGGGCUUACGCCUGAACCAGCCAAGUCGCGUGAGGGAAGACUGCCCUAUGGGUUGUAAACCUCUUUUGUCAGGGAGCAACGCCGGCUACGUGUAGCCGGACUGAGAGUACCUGAAGAAAACGCAUCGGCUAACCCCGUGCCAGCAGCCGCGGUAAUACGGAGGAUGCGAGCGUUAUCCGGAUUUUUUGGGUUUAAAGGGUGCGUAGGCGGAAUGUCAAGUCAGCGGUAAAAUCGGGGGGCUCAACCUCGCCCCGCCGUUGAAACUGGGGUUCUUGAGUGGGCGAGAGGUAUGCGGAAUGCGUGGUGUAGCGGUGAAAGGCAUAGAUAUCACGCAGAACUCCGAUUGCGAAGGCAGCAUACCGGCGCCCAACUGACGCUGAGGCACGAAAGCGUGGGUAUCGAACAGGAUUAGAUACCCGAGUAGUC
rnacentral:rRNA from 1 species